UUUUCUUGCUAAAUCACCCCAAAUGCACCCGACCUCAUCAGAUCUUGGAAGCUAAGAAGAGUUGACCCUGGUUAGUACUUGGAUACCAGACUGCCUCGGAAUACCAGGUGUUGUAAGCU
rnacentral:rRNA from 1 species